rnacentral:rRNA from 1 species
CUAACCUGCCCACUGAUUUAUUAAAGGGCCGCGGUAUAUUGACUGUGCAAAGGUAGCAUAAUCAUUUGUCUUUUAAUUGAAGGCUAGAAUGAAUGGUUGAAUGAGAUAUAUGCUGUCUCAUUUUAAUAAAUAUAAAAAUUUAGCUUUUAAGUUAAAAGGCUUAAAUAAAGUUAAAGGACGAGAAGACCCUAUAGAUCUUUAUAUAAUUUAUAAAUUAAUAAAUUUAAGAAUAUAAAAAUUUUAAAUUAUAAAAUAUAUUUGGUUGGGGUGACUGGAAGAUUUAAAGAACUAUUUUUAUUUUAUACCAUAAAUUUAUGAAUAAUUGAUCCAAUUUUAUUGAUUAAAAGUUUAAGUUACCUUAGGGAUAACAGCGUAAUUUUUUUAGAGAGUUCUUAUCGAUAAAAUAGAUUGCGACCUCGAUGUUGAAUUAAAGA